ACUCCUACGGGAGGCAGCAGUGGGGAAUUUUUGGACAAUGGGCGAAAGCCUGAUCCAGCCAUGCCGCGUGUCUGAAGAAGGCCUUCGGUUGUAAGGACUUUUGUUCAGGGAGCAAAACUUACUGGUUAAUACCGGUGAGGCUGAGAGUACCUGAAGAAUAAGCACCGGCUAACUACGUGCCAGCAGCCGCGGUAAU
rnacentral:rRNA from 1 species